rnacentral:rRNA from 1 species
CUACGGGACGCUCCAGUGAGGAAUAUUGCACAAUGGGGGGAACCCUGAUGCAGCAACGCCGCGUGGAGGAUGACGCAUUUCGGUGUGUAAACUCCUUUUAUAUGUCAAGAAAAUGACGGUAGCAUAUGAAUAAGCACCGGCUAACCCCGUGCCAGCAGCCGCGGUAAUACGGAGGGUGCAAGCGUUACUCGGAAUCACUGGGCGUAAAGGACGCGUAGGCGGGUUGGAAAGUCAGGUGUGAAAUCCUACAGCUUAACUGUAGAGCUGCACUUGAAACUUCUAAUCUAGAGUAUGGGAGGGGGAGAUGGAAUUCGUGGUGUAGGGGUAAAAUCCGUAGAUAUCACUAGGAAUACCUAAAGCGAAGGCGAUCUCCUGGAACAUUACUGACGCUAAGGCGUGAAAGCGUGGGGAGCAAACAGGAUUAGAUACCCGCGUAGUC